rnacentral:rRNA from 1 species
AUAUUGCGCAAUGGCCGCAAGGCUGACGCAGCGACGCCGCGUGGGGGAGGAAGGGCUUCGGCUCGUAAACCCCUGUUGCCCGGGACGAACCUGGCUUUUCGAAGCCACUGACGGUACCGGGUGAGGAAGCACCGGCUAACUCCGUGCCAGCAGCCGCGGUAAUACGGAGGGUGCAAGCGUUGUCCGGAAUCACUGGGCGUAAAGGGCGCGUAGGCGGCGACGCAAGCGUGCGGUGAAAGCUCGGGGCUCAACCCCGAGUCGGCCGUGCGAACUGCGUUGCUUGAGCACUGUAGAGGCGGGUGGAAUUCCGGGUGUAGCGGUGGAAUGCGUAGAGAUCCGGAAGAACACCGGUGGCGAAGGCGGCCCGCUGGGCAGUGGCUGACGCUGAGGCGCGACAGCGUGGGGAGCAAACAGG